GGCCUAGUAGCGCAGUGGUUAACGCGUCGCACUUGUAAUGCGGAGAUUCCCGUGUUCGAUUCACGGCUGGGCCU
rfam:Penicillium roqueforti FM164 genomic scaffold, ProqFM164S01